rnacentral:rRNA from 1 species
GACGAACGCUGGCGGCGUGCUUAACACAUGCAAGUCGAACGGAAAGGCCUCUUUCGGGGGGUACUCGAGUGGCGAACGGGUGAGUAACACGUGAGUAACCUGCCCUUGACUUUGGGAUAACUUCAGGAAACUGGGGCUAAUACCGGAUAGGAGCUCCUGCUGCAUGGUGGGGGUUGGAAAGUUUCGGCGGUUGGGGAUGGACUCGCGGCUUAUCAGCUUGUUGGUGGGGUAGUGGCUUACCAAGGCUUUGACGGGUAGCCGGCCUGGGGGGGUGACCGGCCACAUUGGGACUGAGAUACGGCCCAGACUCCUACGGGAGGCAGCAGUGGGGAAUAUUGCACAAUGGGUGGAAGCCUGAUGCAGCAACGCCGUGUGCGGGAUGACGGCCUUCGGGUUGUAAACCGCUUUCGCUCAUGACGAAGCUUUGUGUGACGGUAGUGGGUAAAGAAGCACCGGCUAACUACGUG